UUACUUGCGUUCCCUUUGAUUUGCUCCAUACAUACUGUUGAAACGUAACGAGAGCGAAUCUCUAACAUUAGCAACACGACGUUGCAUCGCUUCAAUAAGUUUGAUAUUAUACAUACAGGGCACGUACGCAAUAAUAGUAUUUCUAUAUUUACAAUUAGAUUAAUUUCACGAUGAAUCUUCCGCAUUCUUUCACCUCGGAUAGUUUGCGUCAGUAAAACGGUUGUCAAAUAUCAAUCAUUUCGUUAAAAAGAAUAUUUGGAGUAUCGCAAUCAUAGACGGCUUGGAAUAGUGUUGACCGCGACUCUAUCUAACUGAUUGUUAAACAAGUUAUAAUAGAUACAGUUUCCAGCCUUACAAGACUCAAAUAUUCAUCUAGUCAGAAUAACUAGUUACAUAAUUGACCAUGGCAAUUGGAAUAUCUUAGGAGUUACCGUCUUUUAAACCUAAAGAACAAAGAAACUACAGUCUGCUCCAAAUAUCUGAUGCAUCAGUUCUGAUACCCAAAUGACAUUAUAUCUCCAUUUAUUUGAAUAAUGAGGUCACCAUUUGAUUCUUACGCAGAAGACAACAGUGGAGAAUUUGCGAAGAACGUCAUCAUGGCGAUAGGGUUCUUUCUGAGUAUUGCGGUAGCUUGGUGGAUUGUUAUAAACUAUAGUGAUCCGGAAUAAAACUGACUAGGUAGUUGAAUGUUAAGUUUUUUUCUUCUUAAGUUAAGACCAACAUAAAUAUAUAAAUAUAUUUUUGAAAUGAUAUUGCUAUGCAUAAUUAUGAAAUAAACUAAAUUUAUCAAUAAACUACUAA